AUGCUCACUCCGCCAGCACAUCUUCUAAAAGUGGGAUGAUACACAAAAGAUUAGCAUGGCCCCUGGGCAAGGACACCACUCAAAUUCCUGACGCCUUUCAUGUGUUC